GGGUGCGAUCAUACCAGCACUAAUGUACCGGAUCCCAUCAGAACUACGAAGUUAAUCGUGCUUGGGCGAGAGUAGUACUAAGAUGGGUGACCUCUUGGGAAGUUCUCGUGUUGCACCGC
rfam:Ricinus communis cultivar Hale ctg_1100012323030, whole genome shotgun sequence.